rnacentral:rRNA from 1 species
AGAGUUUGAUCAUGGCUCAGAAUCAACGCUGGCGGCGCGCUUAACACAUGCAAGUCGAACGAGAAAGGGGAGCAAUCCCCGAGUAAAGUGGCGCACGGGUGGGUAACACGUGGGUAAUCUGCCUCUGGGUGGGGAAUAACUCUGGGAAACCGGAGCUAAUACCGCAUAAGCCUGAAAGGGGAAAGGCGAAAGUCGCCGAGAGAGGAGCCCGCGGUCGAUUAGCUAGUUGGUGGGGUAAUGGCCUACCAAGGCAAUGAUCGAUAGCCGGCCUGAGAGGGCACACGGCCACACUGGCACUGAAACACGGGCCAGACUCCUACGGGAGGCAGCAGUGGGGAAUCUUGCACAAUGGGGGAAACCCUGAUGCAGCGACGCCGCGUGAGCGAUGAAGCCCUUCGGGGUGUAAAGCUCUUUCGGCCCGGACGAUAAUGACGGUACGGGAAGAAGAAGCUGCGGCUAACUACGUGCCAGCAGCCGCGGUAAUACGUAGGCAGCGAGCGUUGUUCGGAGUUACUGGGCGUAAAGAGUGCGUAGGCGGUGGCCCAAGUCUGGUGUGAAAUCUCCCGGCUUAACCGGGAGGGUGCGCCGGAAACUGGGUCGCUGGAGUACUGGAGAGGCAGGCGGAAUUCCUGGUGUAGCGGUGAAAUGCGUAGAUAUCAGGAGGAACACCCGUGGUGUAGACGGCCUGCUGGACAGUAACUGACGCUGAGGCACGAAAGCGUGGGUAGCAAACAGGAUUAGAUACCCUAGUAGUCC